rnacentral:lncRNA from 7 species
GGCAGUUUGUCACACAUGAGCCAGGUGACCUCUGUGACAUAACAGAGAAAAAUAUCGCCCGAGAUCAAAAGAUGAGAUUCAGAGCCCUCUAACUAACUCUGCUGCGGGCAGCAGCCGCCCAGGCUGGCCUCCCUUCCUGGCGCAGCCGCAGGGUGGGCUGUGCUCCUGCUAAUUGAAGCCGCCUCGUUUGCUCACCUCUCUGCCCAAACCAUCCCCGAAACACCACCAUCAGAACUGGCCUCCUCUUAAAGCUGCUGCUUUCCAAAACGGCUCGCAGAUGUGAAUGGGCGGCAGAUGUGAACGGGCACAGUGUUGGUCGGCAGGUCAAAACGAACACGUACCAAUCAGAAACAUCAGAAUGGCAGAAGAGUCGCUUCUGCAAACGAGUCUGUGUUCAGCCAGUGAUUUUUUGAAUGCUAAGCAACAAUGAAGCCUUGUAUAAGCAUGUCCUUCCCUGGUAUUGCAGUGAGAAGCCCUCAAAGCCUAAAACACUUACUGGGAUUCAACUGUCAUGGCAGUUACAACGUAUAUUUGAUGUAUCCCUGUAAAAUUAAUAUUUAAUUUAAAGAGCACCUAGCCUAAUCCAUUGUCUUUUGCACUACAAACAAUUUCUGUUGGGAAAAGUGCCAUGGAGUAUCGACAGUGACAACAAAUUGCAUUGUGCGGUGAACAUCUGUUUCCGACUCCCACACUGAUAUUGCAGGUUGGCUACUUCUGCGUUAGUCCUCACAGGCUGCCCAACCUCAGAGGAACUGGAAAUUACUGGCAGGAAGAACAUCAGUGACUGCACACUGGUUACAAAAGAAGCUGAAGCUAUUGUAGACCACGGUGACCUGGGCACGAGCUGCAGCAUCGGUUUUGGCUUCCACCUGCACACUAGAUAAUUUGUUUUGCUGAUUUUCACUGAGCUACAGGAGCAGCAAGAUGGAGUGCAGACUGCAGGCCUGCCUGACCCACCCACUCUGGACCUUCUCCUCAAAGAUUUCCACCUUUUCCUGAAAGGCUGAGCAAGGAAUUGAAGGGAGUGCUGGUGAACUGCUGCACUCACUGUAGGUCCGUGCAGCCCACAGCCACAAACAGCCCCCGUUAGUGCUGCCCACGGACUGACUGCGGUGCUAACGUAAUUCCCAGGAAGGAGAAAGGAAAAGAAGAGCCAGCAAACAACAGAAAGGGGAUUUAGGAAUAACGCGUAGCAAAUGAAACUUAAACACUUGAGCCAGGCGCUCUGCAGAAGAAAACAGGAAACUGGCAGAUGCUGUGAGUGAAACUGGAAAUGCGCUAUUCGAGAUCUCAGCUUGCACUUCUUACUUGGACACAGUUCUCAUCAGCCUCAAUGAGGUCUUCUUCCAAUAAGCAAACAAAACCAGACCCAUAAGCACAACUUGACUUAACACUGAACAUCACCAUAUGCAUAAAGACUGACUUCUUCAGCUCUCUGUUCAGGAGCAGCUGUAGGUGCAUGUUUAUUUCCUCGUACAGGGAAUUCUUGCCACUGCACAGAGAGGUUCCCAGCGCUCUGUUGCUCCUAUGGACAUUUCCCCCAAACUUUUAAGAGGUACGAGGUGGAAUAGUGGAUGACCAGACACCCCCGGUGCCCCCCAAGGGGCUGCGAUGAGUUGGCUCAGGGACAGUGAGCCAUGACUCAGCCCCACCGGCCUCUGCUCAUUGCUCAGCACAAAUGGCAGCAGUGCAGUAAGUACCGAAUGGCAGCCAGGUGGAACAGAGGGUGCUGACUGUAACACCGGGCUGGGGACACAACUCUUCGUCACAUCCAGUGUCACUCAGUCGGGACGAUGCUUCCUGUAUUCAGCAAACAUGCCAGUAAAAGAAUUUCCUUGGCAUAGAGACAACGUGGAAAUGUCCUUUUAAAAGCCAGUUAAUACCAACAGAACUCAUGAGCUAGCUGGAACCAUUUCCUAUGCUAUGGAAAGAACACUUGAAUAAGGCUAACCAAGACGUUUCACCCUGCCCACCUCCCCCCUCCCCAUCUAUUUCUGGAUGUCUUCUUUUGUUCACCCUUGGCUAAUUAUAGAGGCCUUGCUUAGGUUGUAUUUAUAGCCUUAAAAGAGUUGCCUGACUUCUAGAACACUUUAUUCAUGUAUAUUUCCUGUGUUUAUUGUUGCCUUCGCUAAUUUUUGAGAUUAAAUUUACUUGAUCCAAGAUUUGACUUAGUAACAAAUAUCAAAGUGGCUGCUCUGUCAGCAGCUGGAGGGCUGUGUUUAGAUGCAAAAAAAAGCAUUUUUCUAUUUCUGAAUUUCUGAAAAAACAGUUCUGGUUUCUGUCCAUUUCCAGGCAGUGAGAAUGGCGGGCAACUCCGGAACUGGACAAAAUGAAUGUUCUUCUUUUGCAUUUAUUUCACUAGUUUGUAUCUAUAAAUGCAUAUAUAUACAUA